GACAGAGGGGGCAAGCGUUGCUCGGAAUUACUGGGCGUAAAGAGCGCGCAGGCGGUCGUUCAAGUCGCGUGUGAAAGCCCCCGGCUCAACUGGGGAGGGUCACGCGAUACUGAUCGACUCGAAGGCAGGAGAGGGAAGUGGAAUUCCCGGUGUAGUGGUGAAAUGCGUAGAUAUCGGGAGGAACACCAGUGGCGAAGGCGACUUCCUGGCCUGUUCUUGACGCUGAGGCGCGAAAGCGUGGGGAGCAAACAGG
rnacentral:rRNA from 1 species